CGGUAAUACGGAGGAUCCUAGCGUUAUCCGGAUUUAUUGGGUUUAAAGGGUGCGUAGGCGGAAUAAUAAGUCAGUGGUGAAAUCCGGCAGCUUAACUGUAGAAUUGCCAAUGAUACUGUUAUUCUUGAAUGCAGUUGAGGUAGNCGGAAUGUGUAAUGUAGCGGUGAAAUGCUUAGAUAUUACCCAGAACACCGAUUGCGUAGGCAGCUUGCUAAACUGUGAUUGACGCUGAGGCACGAAAGCGUGGGUAGCAAACAGGAUUAGAUACCCUGGUAGUCCACGCCGUAAACGAUGAUUACUCGAUGUGUGCAAUAUAUCGUACGCGUCCGAGCGAAAGCAUUAAGUAAUCCACCUGGGGAGUACGGCCGCAAGGUUGAAACUCAAAGGAAUUGACGGGGGCCCGCACAAGCGGAGGAACAUGUGGUUUAAUUCGAUGAUAUGCGAGGAACCUUACCUGGGCUUAAAUGUAUUCUGACGUUCCGGGAAACUGGAAUUCCCUUCGGGGCAGAUUACAAGGUGCUGCAUGGUUGUCGUCAGCUCGUGCCGUGAGGUGUCGGGUUAAGUCCCAUAACGAGCGCAACCCCUAUUGUUAGUUGCCAGCGGAUAAUGCCGGGGACUCUAACGAAACUGCCAGUGUAAACUGUGAGGAAGGUGGGGAUGACGUCAAAUCAGCACGGCCCUUACGUCCAGGGCUACACACGUGUUACAAUGGUCGGUACAAAGGGCAGCUACCACGCGAGUGGAUGCUAAUCUCCAAACCGAUCUUAGUUCGGAUUGAAGUCUGCAACUCGACUUCAUGAAGCUGGAUUCGCUAGUAAUCGCACAUCAGCCAUGGUGCGGUGAAUACGUUCCCGGGCCUUGUACACACCGCCCGUCAAGCCAUGGAAGCCGGGGUACCUGAAGUCCGUAACC
rnacentral:rRNA from 1 species